AAGAGGCAGUCUACGAUAGAACCAUGCAAAAUCAAAAUUUUAUAAUGAAGGGUGUAGAUUAAUUUUCAUAGUUUAUCUGGAUAUAUCUAAAGUAUAUUGUCUAUUUUAUCAAAUUUUCAUGGUUAAAUUUAUCUGCACCACUGAAAUCCCCCAGAUAAGACCAUUUCUAUUUUUAGCUCAUUAUUCAUAAUAAAUUUCAUGCAUGAAUAAGGCUAAUUUCAUAGAGUCAUUUAAGUAUUAAAUAGAGUUUAAUCAUACAUGGAGUCAGAUUCACAUAACAUCUGAUACAAAUACCUUUGAUUUGGUGCACACAUAUUUUUUAAUUCAUUCGUUGAUUUUAAGCUAGAUGAUCAAAUAUUAUAAUAAGAUAGGUAAUGUCCAAAACACACUACUUCUCUUAGUAGGAUAUAAAACCUCAAGAAACGUUUUAAAUUUAGAGUUUCUUGGUUCAAACAAUAGAAUUGUCCAUAAAAAAAUAUAUUUAAAUGGGAAUUUGGUUGCAAAUAAAUAUUAAGCUUAUAUUCCGGUGUUUAAAUUCGGGAUUUUUACAAAUUAAAUUAUCUCCCUUUGUGGAACUCUCGUGUAAAGAAGAUAAAGAAGAAUGAUUGGAGAAAGCCAGAUGUCAACAAAAUGGAUGGUUUGAAAUGUAGUUUUGGUGAAAAUUGUAAAGAGAAAGCAGAUAAUAUACUUUAGGAUUGCAGGAAUAUGGAAUUCAGUGGAAAAGGAAAAGGAGAACAUGCUGUCAUUCACUACAUAAACAAUCUCAAUCUGGCAUAAUCGCGAGUGGAAUUACAUUCAUUCAAAGCCGAGAGACAUGGAUGAAGCUGAGCACACAUUUUCCAACUGGUUCUGGUGUUCGCAGAAAACGCAUUGAGAGAAAACUGUGUCAAGAUUAAUACAGAUCUGAAGGAGGAGUUGAAAGAAAUAUGCUGUUUAUUAGAGAGAACUACAGAUUCUGAAGCAAUGGACGCUGAUAUAUCAUUUUCUAACCCAAGAGAUUUUGAUCUUCUGUCAUCUCAGAAAACUGUGGGGUCUGAUCAGUCCAAAGAUGAAAGAACAGAGCAUGAAAUCUUAAAUGAAGCUGUGAAAUUAUUGUCAUAUGGAAAGUACUCCCCUGUAAAAUCACAGCCAUCUAUGAAUCUUGAUCAACUUCAGUAUUCAAAGAGAAUUGUGAUACAUGCAUGAAUUCAUAUUAAUUAUAUUUUCAUGUUAAAUACUACUCGAAAACCAUUGUCAACCUCCGCUUCGCGUCGGUUGACAAUGGUGUCCUUGGGGUGUCAAUUUCAACUGUUACCCUCCCAAACAGGCACUAUUUAUAUAAUGUUAGUCCUCUAAUAGCACUACAUGUGUAUGAGUUGAUGACGUAAGUCUUCUAAUAGCGCUACAGGUAUAAAUUGAUUAUUUUAGGCCAUUAAUAGACAAACAUGUAUCAAUUGAGGAUGUAAGCUAGAUAAUAGCACUUCAUUAAUGAUUUGAUGAUAAGAGUUGUCUAACAUCACUUGUAUGAAUUGAUGAUGUUAUUUGGCCAAAAGUGCUACAUGUAUGAAUGUUGGCGAGUAGCUCUACAUGUAUGAAUUAAUGAUGUUAGUUAUUUAAUAGUGCUACAUGUAUGAAUUGAUAAUUUUAUUUGUCUAAUAGUGCUACAAGAAGGAAUUGAUGAUGUAAGUUUGCUAAAAACAUUACAUAAUUAAUAUAUGACUUGAUGUUGUCUGUUCUAUAAUAGCAUUUCAUGUACGAAUGAUGAUGUUAGUCCUCUAUUAGCACUACACAUAUAUGAAUUGAUAAUGUUUUUGUACUAAUAGCGCUACAGGUAUGAAUUGAUUGUUAUUUGGCCAAUAGCGCUACGUGUAUCAAUUGAGGAUGUAAACUUUAUGAAUGAUUUGAUGAUAAAAGUUGACUUAUAGCACUAGUGUGAAUUGAUGGUGUUACCUGGCUAGCUAAUUGUGCUAUACGUUUGAAUUGAUGAUGUUCUUAGACUAGUAGCGCCACAUGUAUGAAUUGAUGAGGUUACAUGUAUUUGGCUAACAGCGCUACAUGAAUUAAUGAUGUUAUUUGGCCAAUAGUGAAACAUGUACAUUCAUGAAUUAAUGAUCAUUGUUGUCUUAAAUUGCUACAUGUUUAAAUUGAUGAUGUUAAUUGGCAAAUAGUGAUUCAUGUAUGAAUUGAUGUUGUUUGGUUAUCAGUGCUAUAUGUAUGAAUCAAUAAUGUUAUUUAGCUUUUAGUGCAACAUGUAUGAAUGAUGAUAAAGGUUGUUCAAUAGCACUACAUGUAUGAAUUUAUGAUUUUAUUUGACUAAAAGAUAAGUGCUACAUGUGUGAAUUGUUGGUGUUUGGUUAUUAGUGCUACAUGUAUAAAUUGAUGGUAAUACAUGUAUUUGUCUAACAGUGUUAAAUGUAUGAAUUGAAAAUAGAUGUCUUAUACGGCUACAUGUAUAAAUUAAUGAUUUUAUUUGACUAAUAGCACUACAUGUAUGAAUUGAUGUUGUUAUUUGGCCAAAAGUGAUACAUGUAUUAAUUGAUAAUAGUUGUCCACUAUUGCUACAUGUAUAAAUUGAUGAUUUUACUUGACUAAUAGCACUACAUGUAUUAUUGAUGAUGUUAUUUGGCUAAUAGGGAUACAUGUAUUAAUUGAUGAUGAUAACUUUCUAAAUUUAAAUUAAUUGCACAUCUCUGUCUUUUUUUCGUAUGUAACUGAAUAAUGAAUAUUUCAAUUCACUGAUUUUGUAUCUUUUUUUCUGAAAUUAAAAUUCUCUUUCCGAUGUAUUCAUUGUAGGUUGAAAUUUGGUUGUAUUGCAUAUUUUAUUUCAUAGCUUUAUAAACAAUGGCUUUUCAUAUUUCAUGAAAAUAACUGCAAUAAUUUGGUCUUUGCUUUUUGCUCCAUUUGAAGCAAAGGCUCAUUACAAGUAUUUCUUAUAAAUGAGUGUUACAUGUAGGCUUUUCAGGAUUUUUUUUUUCAUAUCAGGUGGUUAUAUCUACAUUUUGAAGUUUAUAACUGUAACAAAUAAUCCAUGAAUAUUAAACAGGUUAUUUAUUAAGUUAAAGAUUGUUAUUUGCUGUGUUCUUCUCAGAUAUCAUCUUAACAAUAUACUUAUGUUGUAAACUCUGCUCAAAAAUACAAAUGUAUAUGAUAAAAAAAAUGUUUGAUAUGUACAUUCAUUUAAAUUUGAAUACAUGUAACAUGAAAUCCAUUGUUAUUGUAUUUUAACAGUUUAAUGUCAAAGCGGAUGCUUAUAUAAAUUGAGGUGCUGUGGGACAUAAUUCGAUUUUAAUAUGGAUUAAUGUACAUUGUGAUUGAAAUACUUUCACCGGUUUAAAAUUUUCAAAUUUUACAAUAUUUAACCAAAAAAGAGCUUUUAAAAAUAUUUGGAGAGGUAAAAAUUGUAAAAACCCAGAGCGGGAGUCAAACUCAUGACUUACAGAUUCGUAGUACACCCUCUAACCCACUGCGCGUCGCUGUUAGGUGACAAACUUAAUGGUCCAAGUUUCCUUUCAAUUGCAGCCCCCCCCCCCCCCCCCCCCCCGCCUGAGGGCAAUUCAUAGUAAUUCUGUGUGUUUAAUUUUUAAGACUACUUAAUUCUCCAUUACUACUUGUUUUAUUUGGCAAGGAAAAUCUAAAUAAUUAUGUAAUAGCAUUUUUCUUACCCUAGAUAAAAGUGCACCAUGUCCACCCCAACCCCCUCCCAAAUCCACCCACCCCCCCAAAAUUUCCACUGAAUUUCAUUUGCAACCAAAUUCCCUCAACCAGAUUAAAGACAAAUAAAGACCAUAUAAGCUGACAAAAUAUUAUAUUAAUUGAUGCGUUUCUUGGGCAGUUAUGCCAGUUUUAGUGCAAAUAGGUCAAUUUUGGUAAAAUUUCAGUAUUUUCAUGAAGUUAAGGCCCACAUAUCUUUGUGUAUUGUGUUUAGAAAUUUAAAUUCCUUAUUAUUCAGAAUACCUAUGGGUUUUCACAAUGUGAAGAAACGGGUUUCAUUCAAUUGCAGUGUGUAAUAUUUCCAGUAAACUAAAAAGAAUUGUAUGCUGUCUAAUUUUUCAAAAGUUCUAUAAAUAGAACAAGGGAAAAACCCAAGUACCAUCCGUUUCCAUAGUUACUGAUGUAAUGUAAUAAAAAUCAUUCUCAUUAUAAUCGAGUUAGGUUAUCAUGAAUAUCUGUGCCAAGUCUCAUGAAAUUUCGAUAUACUUCCAUUGAUAGCCAUUUGCAUGGUUCUAUGGUA